AUACGUAGGUGGCAAGCGUUGUCCGGAUUUAUUGGGCGUAAAGCGCGCGCAGGCGGCUAUGUAAGUCUGGUGUUAAAGCCCGGGGCUCAACCCCGGUUCGCAUCGGAAACUGUGUAGCUUGAGUGCAGAAGAGGAAAGCGGUAUUCCACGUGUAGCGGUGAAAUGCGUAGAGAUGUGGAGGAACACCAGUGGCGAAGGCGGCUUUCUGGUCUGUAACUGACGCUGAGGCGCGAAAGCGUGGGGAGCAAACAGGAUUAGAUACCCUGGUAGUCCACGCUGUAAACGAUGAGUGCUAGGUGUUAGGGGUUUCAAUACCCUUAGUGCCGCAGCUAACGCAAUAAGCACUCCGCCUGGGGAGUACGGUCGCAAGACUGAAACUCAAAUGAAUUGACGGGG
rnacentral:rRNA from 1 species